rnacentral:rRNA from 1 species
AACGAACGCUGGCGGCAUGCCUAACACAUGCAAGUCGAACGAGAUCUUCGGGUCUAGUGGCGCACGGGUGCGUAACGCGUGGGAAUCUGCCCUUUGGUUCGGAAUAACAGUUGGAAACGACUGCUCAUACCGGAUGAUGACGAAAGUCCAAAGAUUUAUCGCCAGAGGAUGAGCCCGCGUAGGAUUAGCUAGUUGGUGUGGUAAAGGCGCACCAAGGCGACGAUCCUUAGCUGGUCUGAGAGGAUGAUCAGCCACACUGGGACUGAGACACGGCCCAGACUCCUACGGGAGGCAGCAGUGGGGAAUAUUGGACAAUGGGUGAAAGCCUGAUCCAGCAAUGCCGCGUGAGUGAUGAAGGCCUUAGGGUUGUAAAGCUCUUUUACCCGGGAUGAUAAUGACGGUACCGGGAGAAUAAGCUCCGGCUAACUCCGUGCCAGCAGCCGCCGUAA